rnacentral:rRNA from 1 species
UGAGCAAUCUGCCCUUCUCUUCGGAAUAAGCGUUGGAAACGACGUCUAAUGCCGAAUACGACCUCCUUUCGCAUGAUCGGAGGUGGAAAGCUCCGGCGGAGAAGGAUGAGCUCGCGGCCUAUCAGCUAGUUGGUGUGGGUAAUGGCCCACCAAGGCGACGGACGGGUAGCCGGCCUGAGGAGGGUGACCCGGCCACACUGGGACUGAGACACCGGCCCAGACCUCCGACGGGAGNAGCG